rnacentral:rRNA from 1 species
UACAGAGGUGGCAAGCGCUGUUCGGAAUUACUGGGCGUAAAGGGCGCGUAGGCGGUCUUGUAAGUCUUGUGUGAAAUCCCUCGGCUCAACUGAGGAACUGCACGGGAUACUGCGAGACUUGAGUUCGGGAGAGGGAAGCGGAAUUCCAGGUGUAGCGGUGAAAUGCGUAGAUAUCUGGAGGAAUACCGGUGGCGAAGGCGGCAUCCUGGACCGGCAUUGACGCUGAGGAACGAAAGCCAGGGGAGCAAACGGG